CGCCCACUGCAGGUAUUUAACCCCUUUCCCGCUGGCCGCAUUCUUGCAGGUGCACCGGAGGACGUAAACACGAUCAUCAUGAUGCAUUUUCAGCACAGAUUCGAUGCAGGUUUCGCCCAUUUUAAAGUCAAUAUCGGUGACGAGAUCCCAGGACUGCCAGUAGCCCGAGAAAGUGUAUUUUUUUUUAACCGCAGUUGCCAAUUGAAAGACUUUGUUUCCCUCUAGCGAGCGACACUAUAAUACCGACAGUCCGAGUUUACCUUGUCAACGUGUAGGCCCGGUAUUUUACAAAACGUUCGGGACGAAAACGUUUCACGUCGAACCGAAAGUGCACUCCUUUUGCACAACUUGCUGUUCUACGGUGCUUACUUUACUGUCUGUCUGUCGCUGCUCACCUGUCUACAUUUGUUCAUUUCGGAAAGGCCGACUUCUGAUACAGUUUUCCUGGACUGCGGGGAUCCUGCCUGUUUUCCAGCUCUCCGAGGAGCAACACACCCGAUUCACACAAUCAGGAUCGUUCCGAUGCCGCUUCAGAGCCGACAUGCCUGAUGUCCAGCAAGUCAACCAGCAAAACCCAUCUGGGAUCAUCUGUUGUGCCUACGAGGAGUAAAUCAAAAAGUGAGCGUGAUA